CCAGACUCCUACGGGAGGCAGCAGUGGGGAAUAUUGGGCAAUGGGCGCAAGCCUGACCCGGCAACGCCGCGUGAAGGAAGAAGGCUUUCGGGUUGUAAACUUCUUUUCUCAGGGACGAAGCAAGUGACGGUACCUGAGGAAUAAGCCACGGCUAACUACGUGCCAGCAGCCGCGGUAAUACGUAGGUGGCAAGCGUUAUCCGGAUUUACUGGGUGUAAAGGGCGUGUAGGCGGGACUGCAAGUCAGAUGUGAAAAUUAUGGGCUCAACCCAUAACCUGCAUUUGAAACUGUAGUUCUUGAGUGAUGGAGAGGCAGGCGGAAUUCCGUGUGUAGCGGUGAAAUGCGUAGAUAUACGGAGGAACACCAGUGGCGAAGGCGGUCAACUGGACAGCAACUGACGCUGAGGCGCGAAAGCGUGGGGAGCAAACAGGAUUAGAUACCCUUGUAC
rnacentral:rRNA from 1 species